GGGGUGCUCGAGUGGCGAACGGGUGAGUAACGCGUGAGUAACCUGCCCUUGACUUUGGGAUAACUUCAGGAAACUGGGGCUAAUACCGGAUAGGAGCUCCUGCUGCAUGGUGGGGGUUGGAAAGUUUCGGCGGUUGGGGAUGGACUCGCGGCUUAUCAGCUUGUUGGUGGGGUAGUGGCUUACCAAGGCUUUGACGGGUAGCCGGCCUGAGAGGGUGACCGGCCACAUUGGGACUGAGAUACGGCCCAG
rnacentral:rRNA from 1 species